rnacentral:rRNA from 1 species
CACGUAGGGUGCGAGCGUUGUCCGGAAUUAUUGGGCGUAAAGAGCUCGUAGGCGGUGUGUCGCGUCGGCCGUGAAAACCUGCAGCUUAACUGUGGGCGUGCGGUCGAUACGGGCAUCACUGGAGUUCGGCAGGGGAGACUGGAAUUCCUGGUGUAGCGGUGAAAUGCGCAGAUAUCAGGAGGAACACCGGUGGCGAAGGCGGGUCUCUGGGCCGAUACUGACGCUGAGGAGCGGAAGCGUGGGGAGCGAACAGG